UACAGGGGGUGCAAACGUUGCUCGGAAUCAUUGGGCGUAAAGCGCACGUAGGCGGUUCGUUAUGUCGGAUGUGAAAGCCCUUGGCUUAACCGAGGAAGUGCAUCCGAAACUGGCGAGCUAGAGUACGAAAGAGGAUCGCGGAAUUCCCGGUGUAGAGGUGAAAUUCGUAGAUAUCGGGAGGAACACCGGUGGCGAAGGCGGUGGUCUGGGCCGGCACUGACGCUGAGGAGCGAAAGCGUGGGUAGCAAACAGG
rnacentral:rRNA from 1 species